ACAGCCAAAUAUAACAGAGUAUCUGUUUAUUUUUCUGCUCAAGGUCAUCCUUAGUUUUAAUUUGUAGCAACCUGAAACAUGUAAUCAAAAUUUAGAUAAGCACAAAAUGUUUGCUUAUAUUUUAUCUAUGAACACUCAAUAUGGAAAUUGCUGAAAAAGUUUCAUGAACAUAAUGACUUCAAUUUUUGUCAUUCUGUAACAUCAAGUUAUUUAUAUGGUAAUGUGAAUUUUAUCUAGACUGUAUAAUUUGAAGUCAUUGAAACCUUUUGUGUAAGUUUUCCAAUGAUUUACAAGACAUCGCAAACUUUUCUUAAGGAUGCUGAAUAAAAUAAUCUUUAGACAAAUUUCUUCUCGGCAUCAAUUCCAGUUUGUAUUUUAGAGAAAAUUUUAAAAACAUGUCUUUAAUGAAAAAGCAUUUACUUUUGUAGCAUUUUACCUACACAAGUUAAGAAACAAAUAUAGUAUAACAAGAACCUGUACUUUACAUAUCAAUAAUUUUGAAUUCAUACAAUUCCAUGUAGAUUUUUAAUGUUUUUCUUUAUAUAUGCUCAUGGUACAUUAUUAUUAGUCUCAUACUGACAAAGGUGAAAGGGACUUUAUGUCUGUACUCUGUCUGUUUCCCAUUUGUAAGUCAGCAAAUCAGAUUUCCAGUUUCUUCUUUGUGCUUGAAGAUUAACUGAUAUUGAUUUGAUAUUUAGUACCUUAUUUUAUCAUGACAAGUUUCAAUUCAAAUUUGAAUUAUGUUCCAGUCUGAUGAUUUUGAGCAGAGUUAUGGUCCUUGGACUUAGAAAAAAUCUCGUAAAUAAUCAGUUUUCCACUUUUUUCGUCUUGCUCGAAGAUAUUGAUUAGGUAUUUGAUAUACUAUUUCAUCAUGACAUGUUAUAUUUAAGUUUGAAUUUUGUUCCAGUCUAGUGAUUGUGUUGAGAGUUAUGGUCCUUGGACUUAUAAAAUUCACUCAAAUAAUCAGUUUCCCAACCUUUUUUUCGUCAUGCUUGAAGAUAUUGAUUUGACAAUUGGUAUAUAGUUUUAUCAAGUAAGCAUUUUGUUUCAGUACACAUAUUUUUGAACCAGUAGGGGACUAUAUAUGCAUUGCCAUGCAAUAAUCUCAGAAUACUUGUUAUUACUUUUUAGCUUUUGAUUUGUAGAAUGUCUUUCAUUACAAGUGCAAUUUUUUGUAGAACUAGAAGUAGUUUUACAGAAUUAUGGGAUGUUAUAUAAACUUAGUGCUGAUGUUAUUAUUCUGUCAAUUGCUUAAAGAUAUACAUGUACAUGAAAAUAAAUGUCUUAAAGUUAGAACGAAGGAGAUGAGAACCAUUUAUGAUUUCUUGUUCCCCAAAGUUUAAACGAAAAUCUGAAAAUUUUUAUCUAUUAUUUUUUUUUUAAACAAAAGGAAAUAUAAGAAAAACUAUUUCUGUCUCUGACAAUAGAACUAAUAAAAAUGCUUGCUUAUAUUGUUUUUUUCCAUGAUGUUUAGAAAAUAGCAUGCUUAGUUUUAGGGUAUUUUCUGAAAGUGUUUUGAGAAUUCUUUUUGUUAUCCAUUUCUGUAAAGACUAAUGGUAUUCAGUACUGUUUGGUACAUAAAUUCACAUAUCUUGUACUUGAUAAUGGUGGGUUUAAAAAUGAAAGUAAGGUUGUUUAUAUUGAUGCAGUUUAUAACUACAAAUAAAUGUUC
rnacentral:lncRNA from 1 species